CGCGUGCACUGGCUCGGCCGGGCCUUUCCUUCUGGAGAACCCGGUGCCCUUUAUUGGGUGUCGUGGGGAACCAGGACUUUUACUCUGAAUAAAUUAGAUCGCUUAAAGAAGGCUCUUGCUUGAAUAUUCUAGCAUGGAAUAAUAGAAUAGGACGUGUGGUUCUAUUUUGUUGGUUUCUAGGACCGCCGUAAUGAUUAAUAGGGACAGUCGGGGGCAUCAGUAUUCAAUUGUCAGAGGUGAAAUUCUUGGAUUUAUUGAAGACUAACUACUGCGAAAGCAUUUGCCAAGGAUGUUUUCAUUAAUCAGGAACGAAAGUUAGGGGAUCGAAGACGAUCAGAUACCGUCGUAGUCUUAACCAUAAACUAUGCCGAUUAGGGAUCGGACGGUGUUAUUUUUUGACCCGUUCGGCACCUUACGAUAAAUCAAAAUGUUUGGGCUCCUGGGGGGGUAUGGUCGCAAGGCUGAAACUUAAAGAAAUUGACGGAAGGGCACCACCAGGGGUGGAGCCUGCGGCUUAAUUUGACUCAACACGGGGAAACUCACCAGGUCCAGACAAAAUGAGGAUUGACAGAUUGAGAGCUCUUUCUUGAUUUUUUGGUUGGUGGUGCAUGGCUGUUCUUAGUUGGUGGAGUGAUUUGUCUGCUUAAUUGCGAUAACGAACGAGACCUUAACCUGCUAAAUAGCCCGUGCCGCUUUGGCGGCUCGCUGGCUUCUUAGAGGGACUAUCGG
rnacentral:rRNA from 1 species